rnacentral:rRNA from 1 species
AAGCUGUAGUUGAAUUUCGGGCCUGGUUGAGCGGUUUAGACGCAAGUUUAACACUGCUCUGGCUGGGUCUUUCCUUCUGGGGAACUUAUGUGCUCUUUAUUGAGUGCGUAAGGGAUCCAGGACUGUUACUCUGAAAAAAUCAGAGUGUUUAAAACAGGCUUACGCUUGAAUACAUUAGCAUGGAAUAACGGAUAGGACUUUGUUUCUAUUUUGUUGGUUUGGAGGAAUAAGUAAUGAUUAAUAGAGAUAGUUGGG